CCUACGGGAGGCAGCAGUGGGGAAUAUUGCACAAUGGGGGAAACCCUGAUGCAGCGACGCCGCGUGAGUGAAGAAGUAUCUCGGUAUGUAAAGCUCUAUCAGCAGGGAAGAAAAUGACGGUACCUGUUUACGAAGCCCCGGCUAACAACGUGCCAGCAGCCGUGGCAAUACGGAAGGGGCCAGCGUUAUCCGGAUUUACCGGGUGUAAAGGGAGCGUAGACGGCAGCACAAGUCUGGAGUGAAAUGCCGGGGCUUAACCCCGGAACUGCCGUGGAAACUGUGCAGCUAGAGUGCAGAUGAGGUAAGAGGAAUGUGUAGUGUAGCGGUGAAAUGCGUAGAUAUUAGAAAGAACACCGGUGGCGAAGGCAGCUGAC
rnacentral:rRNA from 1 species